GCCCAGAUGGUGGAACGGUAUACACGGUGCGCUUAGAACGCACUGCCUUCAGGCUUGCAGGUUCGACUCCUGUUCUGGGCACCA
rnacentral:tRNA from 1 species